ACUUGUUCUUUAAAUGAGGACUAGUAUGAAUGGCAUCACGAGGGUUAUACUGUCUCCUUUUUCCAAUCAGUGAAACUGAUCUCCCCGUGAAGAAGCGGGGAUAAACUUAUAAGACGAGAAGACCCUAUGGAGCUUUAAACCUCUCUUCAAGUGCCCGCUACCCUUCCCACCCCUCUAACAUUUACCCGGCGCUAUGAAGCUAAGUUUUAGGCUGGGGUGACCGCGGAGCACAAAAAAACCUCCACGUUGAACUAGGCCUCAAAACCUUGAUCAAAGGACUACAAUCCUAUGCACCAAAAAAUUUACACUCAUUGACCCACUCACAUGAUCAACGAACCAAGUUACCCUAGGGAUAACAGCGCAAUCUACUUCAAGAGCCCCUAUCGACAAGUGG
rnacentral:rRNA from 1 species